rnacentral:lncRNA from 1 species
GCAGCCGCAGCCCCUGGCGCUAACGGUCGGUAACGGCCCGCGCGCGCCGCCCGCCGGGGGCUCGCGCCAGCCACGAGGGAGCGUCCGCGGCCCGCGCGCCCGCGCGGCGGAGGAGAGGUGUUAAGUGUGAUGCUUCCAUAAUACAUUUGGAUGCUGUCAGCUAAGUUCACUUCUGAACUAAGGGGUUCCUCCAAAUGUUGGCUGAAAUUCAUCCCAAGGCUGGUCUGCAAAGUCUGCAAUUCAUAAUGGAGCUACUGUACUGGCUAUUGGAAGGAGGAGAUUCUGAAGAUAAGGAGGUAAAACCUGUUUAGAAAUUAAAAAUGAGUUACGAUUUAAAGAAAAUUCAGAUGACUCAUUGUGAGUGCUAGUUCUCUUGUAGGAUGCCACUGGAAAUGUUGAAAUGAAAAAUAUUCAGCCGUUGGUCUUUGAAAUUUCCUGUGAUGUGUUUCAAUCUAGAUGCAAAGAACAUGGAAAAAUCAAAGUGCUCGAGUGGUUUAAAUAUGUUUUGGGUAUUCCUGUUUAUAGACUAUAAUACUUUUCCAAUUAAAAUCCUCAGUUGUCACGCAGAAGAAGGUUAAGCUGUAUUUGAUUGCCAGUUUUACUGAAAAUGCUUAGUAUUUUACAGUAUCACCAAAUAUAUUUUGUUUAGCCAAGGUAUAGGAAAAAUAAAAUAAAUUGUAUAGGUUGACUUUUUUCUAAAAUGUCUUUAUUGGAUUGAAUGAAUGUUUAUACCUGAAAAAAAAAGGUUCAAAAAAA